rnacentral:rRNA from 1 species
UACGGAGGGUGCAAACGUUGCUCGGAAUCAUUGGGCGUAAAGCGCACGUAGGCGGACCGCUAAGUCGGAUGUGAAAGCCCUCGGCUUAACCGAGGAAGUGCAUUCGAAACUGACAGUCUUGAGUAUGGAAGAGGGUCGCGGAAUUCCCGGUGUAGAGGUGAAAUUCGUAGAUAUCGGGAGGAACAUCGGUGGCGAAGGCGGCCUUCUGGACAGUGACUGACGCUGAGACGCGAAAGCGUGGGGAGCAAACAGG